rnacentral:rRNA from 1 species
GACGAACGCUGGCGGCGUGCCUAAUACAUGCAAGUUGAGCGCUGAAGGUUGGUCCUUGUACCAACUGGAUGAGCAGCGAACGGGUGAGUAACGCGUGGGGAAUCUGCCUUUGAGCGGGGGACAACAUUUGGAAACGAAUGCUAAUACCGCAUAAAAACUUUAAACACAAGUUUUAAGUUUGAAAGAUGCAAUUGCAUCACUCAAAGAUGAUCCCGCGUUGUAUUAGCUAGUUGGUGCGGUAAAGGCUCACCAAGGCGAUGAUACAUAGCCGACCUGAGAGGGUGAUCGGCCACAUUGGGACUGAGACACGGCCCAAACCCCUACGGGAGGCAGCAGGAGGGAAUCUUCGGCAAUGGACGAAAGUCUGACCGAGCAACGCCGCGUGAGAGAAGAAGGGUUUCGGAUCGUAAAACUCUGUUGGUAGAGAAGAACGUUGGUGAGAGUGGAAAGCUCAUCAAGUGACGGUAACUACCCAGAAAGGGACGGCUAACUACGUG